rnacentral:rRNA from 1 species
AUUGAACGCUGGCGGCAGGCUUAACACAUGCAAGUCGAGCGGGGUGAUGGUGCUUGCACUAUCACUUAGCGGCGGACGGGUGAGUAAUGCUUAGGAAUCUGCCUAUUAGUGGGGGACAACAUCUCGAAAGGGAUGCUAAUACCGCAUAUGUCCUACGGGAGAAAGCAGGGGAUCACUUGUGACCUUGCGCUAAUAGAUGAGCCUAAGUCGGAUUAGCUAGUUGGUGGGGUAAAGGCCUACCAAGGCGACGAUCUGUAGCGGGUCUGAGAGGAUGAGCCGCCACACUGGGACUGAGAAACGGCCCAGACUCCUACGGGAGGCAGCAGUGGGGAAUAUUGGACAAUGGGGGGAACCCUGAUCCAGCCAUGCCGCGUGUGUGAAGAAGGCCUUAUGGUUGUAAAGCACUUUAAGCGAGGAGGAGGCUCUUUUGGUUAAUACCCAAGAUGAGUGGACGUUACUCGCAGAAUAAGCACCGGCUAACUCUGUGCCAGCCGCCGCGGUAA